UAUCCUACAACAUACAACAUAUGCCGCACACAAACAGAAACAAGCAACGGAGUUCGCCCCUGCAACUGCUCCGCCUCCGGCCUCCGGCUGCUCCGCCUCCGGCCUCCGGCUGCUCCACCUCUGGCCUCCGGCCUCCGGCUGCUCCGCCUCCAGCGAUUAAGUUACGGUUCAGAAACUAAUCCAAUUAAUGAUCCAUCUGAGAUAUGCCAUACACUGCCUGAAUACUCAUAUGUGGAUGGAGAUGGAACAGUCCCUGCCGAGUCUGCAAUGGUACCUUAAAUAUCAUAUAUAAAGUGUGUGUUUAUGUGCCCCUCCCUUUAAAUAAUUGGGUCAAACACAUCGAUCGAUCGCCUAAUUAACUUCAAGUUUGACUACUUAUUCAUCAAACUCUUCGAGACCCAUGUUUUAACUAUUGACAAACCUGAUUUAGUUUUUCUAUUUGUAAAGACUAUCGUAUUUUAUAGUGUUUUUAAAUUUCUAAUGACGAUUUUCUUUUCAUCAUUGUA